CUCAGAUUGAUUGACAAAUAUAAAAACAGUAAUGAUUGUAUCCAGCACAGGAAGAAAAAAAACAGAAAAAUGCAAGGCUUCUGGGAGAGGAGGAAAAAAAAGAGAGGGAUAAGAGGCAAAUGUACUGACAGCUAUAAGCUUGGCUGUCUGAUUCUAAUAACCCUGCAACUGACUAAAUUGCUCUUUUAAGAGUAAUAAGGCUUCAGUAAAAGCUGGUGUCAGAGCCACUUGGGUAGAAAGUGCA